UACGGAGGGGGCUAGCGUUGUUCGGAAUUACUGGGCGUAAAGCGCGCGUAGGCGGACCUGCAAGUCGGGGGUGAAAGCCUGUGGCUCAACCACAGAAUGGCCCUCGAUACUGGCUGGCUCGAGACCGGAAGAGGUUGGUGGAAUUGCGAGUGUAGAGGUGAAAUUCGUAGAUAUUCGCAAGAACACCGGUGGCGAAGGCGGCCAACUGGUCCGGAUCUGACGCUGAGGCGCGAAAGCGUGGGGAGCAAACAGG
rnacentral:rRNA from 1 species